UUUACUAUAGUAAUCAACAUGGAUUGUGCGAGGUUAAGGGUUCAAUCUUGACUAUGGAGAAAACUCUAUUGGGAGCGCUGUCAUCCGAAUUAGUCCCGCCAACCAAGAAAGCAAACAAGCAAUUUCAUAAAGUGUAUGUGCAUCUUCCAAGUAGGUUCAUGAGAAACUCCUCCACAACUUCUCUUGACUCAAAUUUCCUAGUCUUUGAGUAAUUGAGAAUUGACAUCACUUUUGUCCCUUUACCCUCCUAUAUAUACAAAGAAAACACACACACAUAUUCAUUCAUGUACACACAAACAUGACAAACUCUACACCAUUCACAUUAAUUUGUGUUCAAAGUCUAUGGAUCACAUUUAACUAUGUUAGUGUAAUGUAUCGAGCGUAUAUAAACAAUCAGUACUCCUUCUUAGCUUUCAUCUUAUUCGUAUACUUCAAUUCUCUCUUGGUGUAUUACUUAUCCUCGAUAUAUCGAAGCCUUCCAUUGAAAAAUAAGUCAUUGGAGAAGAGCUUUUUGGGAUUUGCUAUAUGGUUCUUCAUGACUUCAAUUAUUUGUGGAUUUGCUUAUCAAUUUUAUCCAUUUUUUGGAUUUUGGUCUGGUCUUCCUAUUUAUUUGAUGGGCAUAGCUAGUAGUGGAGUUAUGUUUUAUGACUAUAUUAUUUGUGAUUAUCAGAAUAAAAAUGAUGGUUAUAAUUGGAGGUGCUUUAGUAGCAAUGAUCAUGUAAAGGGAAGUUAUUGUGAAGAAAAAUGGGAGGUCAUUUGGGAAAAAGUUUGACCAUCGCUCGAUAUGUAAUAAAUUUUCAUUAUGUGCAGAGUCUGAAAAAAAAAAAAAAAGUCAGACCGAUAAAAUCUAUUGUACGCAGUAUUACGUAAUCCGAGUUACUAGAAAGUAAUAAAACAUGUUUGUUCGUACAAAGUACCAUUCUCAGUGAUAAUCAAUAUGACAAAUUAAUUAAUAUAGAGUGACACCUUAAUUGGUGACUAAUUAGUCAUAAAUUUGUAAUAUGCAAGAAUUUGAUUAUCUAAGUCAAAAGUCAGGACCUUAAAGCAACCGUAGAGUGGUCUAUGUAUAAUCGUUGUAAUUUAAUUUGAAAAUAUUAUAACAUACAAGUGAUAUAAAAUAAGGAAUAUAUAUUGAAAAUGAAUCGAUGUUAAAGUUGUCUUUGUGUGAUCUAUAGAUCACGAGUUCAAGCUAUGAAAGUUGUAGCUAACAGAGGCGGACCCACAUGUUAGGGUGGGGUCCACGUGCACCCGUUAAGUUCGAAAAAAGUUUUGUAUAGUACAUGUAAAUUGUAGAUAUCUAAAAUUUGUGGGACUUUACAAAAAGAAUUUAAAUUUUGUUAGAGUUCUUAGAGUCUAGUUUACCCUAAAUCCUGAAUUAUGUCUAUAUAAAGGGCCAAAUAAGCAUCUCCAAUAUUCCACAAAUUCACGGGAUAUUCACAAAGAGAUCAACGAUCUUCAAAGUCCCAAUAAAUUCAUGGGAUGUUUAUAGAUCAAAACUCUUUCUUCUUGAUGUUUAUAGAUCAAAACUCUUUCUUCUUGAUAAUCAAAUACAUCAAGAAGAUACACAAAACUUCCUUUCAUGGAGAUCAAGUCCAAAUAUUUCUACGUUCGAGAAAUACGCCACUAACGGUCCUCGAAUUACAGAGAAAUCAAGACAAAACCUCCUUUCAUGGAGAUCAAGUCCAAAUAUUCCUAUGUUCGAGAAACACGUCACUAACGGCCCUCGAAUUAUGGAGAAAUCAAGAGAAAAGAAUCAAGGGAGGAAUAGAUUUAUACCCAUAUCGUUUAUCAACAAAAUAAAAAAUUCUUGUUUCUUCAUAUUUUUAUUUGUGAUUGAAAUUUAUUUUUCAUGAAUUAAAUUAUGUUAGAAACAUAUACUCCCUCCGUCUGUGUCGUCAUUUGACUGGACACAAUAUUUAAUCCUAGAAAUAAGUAUUGACUUUGUUAAAAUUACAAAAUUACCCUUCUUAAAAAAGGAGUAAUAGUAUUUAAAAUCAAGUGGGACCACUUUUAAUUGAAAAACAAAUAAAAAAGAAGUAAUAGUAUUUAAAGUCAAGUGGGAUCACUAAAGGUAAAAUUGUAAUUGUGUUUUUAAAAACUUACCAAAUAAAGAAAGACAACAUUCUUUUUGAGACCGAGCAAAAAGGAAAUAACGACACAUAAUUUGAGACGGAGGAAGUAUAUCUUAAGAAACAAUUAUAUAAAUUAUGUGCACCUUGAAGAACACUGAUGAAUGUUGGUCGCAAUGAUUCUACCUGACGUUUUCCUCGAAAGUGACCCCAGGAUCGAAUCUCAUGGUCAAGUUUCCUUUGCCCCAAAGUGACCCAAGAUCGAAUCCCAUGAUCAAGUUUCCUUUGCAACAAAACUAGUAGUAAGGAUUCAAACCUGUGAUGUCUUGCUUACACAACACACCUUUUACCGCGGGACUACUUCACUCAUCUACUUUCAUAGAGUUAAGUUUUAUAUAUUAUCCUAAAAAUUAUAUUUGACCUAUAUAUUUAUAUUUUCAUUAUUGCUUAAGACUCCCAGUCAAUCAGACACGGUACUAUUCCUUAAUCGUCAUUGGAACAUUCUCGAAUGCUUAUGUUAAAAUAAAGGUGCACUCGCACUUUUUAAAUCCCUCUGACAGCUAAUAUUUAUAUUAAGUUAGACUGUCUAUUAGAUUGUCUAUAUCACACUUCUUGAGGUGGUAUGCUUCUCCCUCGUGAAAAAUUAGUUCAUUUCCAUGAACCUACCAAGAAGCAACAAGCAUACAACUUCAACUACAAUAAAUGAGACAUCUUCCAUGAGAUUUCAAAGAAAAUUCCAUACAGCUACUCCUUUCCCACAUUAAAGUCCUUUCCAAAGUGAUUUGACACUAAAGUUUGUUUCUUUAUUCUUUAUUACCUAUACAUGUAUACACAUAGCUACAUACAAAGAUAUCACACACACGAAAAAAAAAGUCUUCAAAUUAAGUCUCUUUGACACGUUCUCUUCAUAUUAAUUACAUUUUUCAAACGUCAUGUAUACACCGAUGAAGAGCAUGUUGAAAAAUAUGUUUAAUGAGCGCAUCGAAAAAUAUACGAAGAAAAACAUAAAGAUGAAGACUUGACAAAAAUUAAACAUUGAACAUAAAAUUAUGAGGCUUGAAACACGCGCAAAACGUUUUCUUAAAAAUAAUAUUUGUUCCCUCUUCUCUACGAGAUUGGUAUGAAAUUUAAUGCAAAUAGUUUUAGUGUCUGUGUAUAUGACAAGUCUUUGGACUUCUGCACCAAGCAAAUAGUACAGAUAAUCUUAUUGGAAAGCAAGAAAUCAAGAACUUGAUCUUUUAGAAAGAAAAUAACUCUUUGGAAAAUGUUGUAAGGAAAGUACUAUGUGAAAAGUUUCUCUAAAACUUUCUGUAAAGAUGCACCGAAAGCUCAAGAGAUAGGAUAUGAUAUAGAAGGGGUGAAAAUCAAAUGCUGAAAGGACACAACUAUUCAUCUAAGAGACACCUCUUCAUCUAAAAAUCAUAUCGAUCUUAUAAAAAAACACAAUUUCAUAAAAAAAAAAACAAAUAAUAUUAAUUAUUAAUUUAUUUUAAAUAAAAAUCCAAGAGAGCAAUCGUCAUUGCCAUGGAAGUAGUAAAAGAAAUAAUUUAACAAUUUUGAUUCAAGUAACAAUUGCUGCGUUCUUUAAUUAUCAAAUUAUUUUUCUUUUUAACAUUCAUCAAAUUAUUGUUCACCAAGGGGAUUUAAUGCCGUAUAAAGGAAAAACACUUGUGCUGCUUAUAUUCUCUUAAGACUUAUAAUAAACAAUAUCUGUGCUGUUUGAGGUGUCUGUAUCAUCAACAUGCAUGUAUCAUCGAUAUAUUUGCUUGGUAUUUCAUGAGAAAUUGACAUAGAUGUACCACAACCAGUCACGACAAAGAAAGUUUUGCUACCUUAAUCUUCAAAAUCGUAAUAAAAUCAAAUUUGUAGAAAUCGAAUCAAAUCAAAUUUAUUUUGAUUUGAUUACGAUUGUCAUUUUUGUCAAUCCAAAAUUCGAACCGAUAUGAAAAAAUCAAACCAAACAAACUGAAUGUCCACCCUACAUGCAACUAUUUACAACUAAAUGUCUCUUUACAUAAAAUGUCGCCCUAACACAUUCUUGCUUGGUAGCGCUAGUUAUUUAUCUCCAUUUUAAUUUUAUUUUUUUUUAAUUUCUCUACUUUUUUUUUUCUCAUUUCCUUUCUUUUAUGUCCCCUUUUUCAUUUAAUUAUUUUAUAAACUUCAAUUCCAACUUUAAAAAAUUUAAAUUUUAUGGCCAAACGCCUAUUUUUUAAGGGAGGAGAUAUAAAUACUCUAGCUUUUUGGUCCAUUUUGUACACUUUUCCCUAUUUUAUCAAGAUUUGAGGAAUCCCAAGAUCCGAUCGGAACCAAACUUUGCCACCGAACUGAAAAAAAAUAUCAAAAUAUGCCAUGUAUUUUAAAAAUUACCAAACUAUUAUGCAUAAAUUUUUUAACGGCAGACUACAAACGUCGUUAGAUUUUUUGGAAAGUGCAUAACUCACAAAAACUAUGAGUUAUCCAUUCUUAUUUUAACAUAACUCAUAAUUUUUGUGAGUUAUGCAUUUUAUUUUAACAUAACUUACAAAAAUUGUAAGUUAUCAAUUCUUAUUUUAACAUAACUCACAAUUUUUGUGAGUUAUCCAUUUUUAUUUUAAAAUAACUUUCAAAAAUUGUGAGUUAUUCAUUUUAACAUUAAACAAUGAAAAACGUUUUCGAUCUUCUAUCUAACAUAUAACUGCAGUGACCUUAUCAUCAUACCAAUUUUUUUUUCAUGAAAACUAAUGUAAAAUAUAAGCUUUUUAAAUGUAUAAUGUAUCCUUAAACAUAUUAUAAGGAUGUCAUGAAGACUAAUAUCUAAUGUAAAUUUUCUAAUAGAUAAUGUAAAUAUCUAAAGUAUAAUAUGACCAUAAAACCAACAAUGUAUAAAAGUAGUAUCUAAUGUAAACUUUGUAAUGUAUAAUGUAAAUAUCUAAAGUAUAAUGUGACCAUAAAACCAACAAUGUAUAAAAGUAGUAUCUAAUGUAAACUUUGUAAUGUAUAAUGUUAAUAUCUAAAGUAUAAUAUGACCAUAAAACCAACAAAAGCUUAUGUGCCGAAAAAAGGAGGCGAGAUUGGAUGAGAGAUUUUGAAAUAACGUAUAACCUUUAACUAUUCAAAACUGUACAAAUAUGACCCCGAUCAUACGUGGUAAAACGUGCGUUCAACACGCAAAACUGAGCCCGUCUAACUUAAAAUCUAAGGGCAUAAUACAUAAAUAUGACCCCAAACUUGACACUAAAUUAUAACUUUGACAAUGCACAAAUAUGACCUUUAACUAUUCAAAACAACACAAAUAUGACUUUUAAAUGACUUUUCACUAUUAUUUUUUUCAUAAUUUUUAGCUCAAAGAUGAAAAUGACAUCUAAUUUCUUUUGUCAUUGCGGAAAAAGAGUAAUAUUGAAGAUUUAUUAAUUAAGUGGGUCAACCUCAUACGAAAAAAUUGCGCGGGUAUGUAAAUAUAUUAUAAAGCAGAGGGCGAAUUUAAGUUAUAUAAUAUAUCUAAAUAUAAUUUAUUUAAAUAUUAAAUUAAAGAUGAAGAUAUACUAAUAAUAAAAAAAAUUAUAAUUUUAAUAAAACGUUAUUAAGGAUAUUAGUAGUAUAUUAAAUUAACGUUAUUAAAACGUUAUUAAAUUAAUGCAGGAGUGGACCUACGUGGUUGCUAUGGGGUUCACCCUAAACCCCUCGGUAAAAAAAUUACGUUGUAUAUAUAAGGUAGAAAAUCUAUAUUUAUGUACGUAUAUUAACGUUGAACCACAUGAAACAAGACACUUAGAUAGUCCAGUGGUGUUAUUUACUCUUCUUGGACGCUUCCUUCAGCCUACUGUGUGGGUUCAAUCCCUGUGAAUGACUGUUCUUUUUGUGCUGCUGCUAUAGAAAUAAAUAAAAUAAUAAUAAAAACGAUGUCGUUUUCACACAAAAAGAAAAACUUUGACAGUGCACAGAUAUGACCUUUAACUAUUCAAAACUUCACAAAUAUGGCCUCCCUCCAAGUUAGCCCUUUUAACGACGUGGCACCGUGUGAUUGGAUUACCUUUCCACGUAGGCGCGAGUGAAACUCACGCAUGAGGUUGCAAAAUCGGAGGUCAUAUUUGUUCAGGUUUUGAAUAGUUAAAGGUCCUAUUUGUGCAUUAUCAAAUUUUAAGGUCAAAUUUAUCAUUUAGUGUCAAGUUUAGGAUCAUGUUUAUGUAUUACCUCUUUUUAGUUUGGUGGCAUAGUUUGAUUCCGGACUCCUAAAGUGGUCGAUCCGGCCCAUUUUCAACCCGACCCGGACAACUAAACAAAGCAAUAUACAUAGGCGGGUCUAGAAAUUGCCGCCAUUUUUCCAUUUUCCCUUUUACUUGUUCUUCCAACUUCCAGAAAGUUUCAACUCCGAUCAACUUUCUGGCGAACCACCACUGCACCAUGGCGGAGCACCACCCUUCAACGACUUCCAUAUUCCCCGGAAAAUCCUCCGUUCCUUCAAACGACACCGUUUUCUUCUCCAUAUACCCCGACUUCGCCUUUAACCUUUACAUAAUACCCACUACCCGAACCAAUCAACUCCACUUCCUUCACACCGAAAUCCUCCGGUUCCUCUCCCCUUACACUUCUUCUUACAUCUAUCAACACCACCCCAUCAGCCUCACCCCCACCCCCUCUACCCCCACUACCCCACCUUCCCUCUCCGGCCAUCUCCGUUACGGCGAUAACAUCGAUGAUGAAUGGUUCGUAGUCUUCCUCCUUUUCCAAAUAUCUCAUAAAUUCCCAGAUGUAUCUAUCCAAGUUUAUGAUUCUGAUGGAGAAUUUUUACUAAUUGAAUCCGCUUAUCAUCUCCCUAAAUGGGUCAACCCGGAUAGUGUACCUAAUCGGGUUUUUAUCCGGGGCGGGUUACUUCACAUUAUACCGAAUUCGUUACUUCCCGGUACUCCAUCAGUCUUCGAUUCGGUAAGAUUGUUGAGCAGUGGAGUCGGUUCGGAGCAAAGUCGAGCACCCGAAGGAGUACAGAAGCAGUUGGAGAGUAGGUUGAGGGAGUAUCCGGGGAGAAUUGAGAAAAAUGUGCAUAAGGUUAGGGUUAGGGUUCCGGUGAGUGUAGCGAAAGUGUUGAAGCACGAGGGGUGUUUGAUAUCGUUAGCUGUAGAAGGGUUUUACGAUAGGGAUAUUGAUACGAUGAAGUAUGCGGGGAAGAUGGAGAGGUUUUUAGGGGAGAGGGGUAGUGCGGAGGAGUUGGUGAGGGUUGUGGUUAGGAUGAGUAGGGCAAUGUAUGCACAGUUGAUGCAACAGACGUUUACGGCGCCCAAAUGUUAUCCUGCAUUGCCACCUAGGAGUGAUGUGGAGGGGUAUAAGGAAGCGGAGCUGGGAAUGAAGAUUGCUUGUGGAUUUGAGAUGAUUUAUCAGUUGAAGAAGAGGCAGUGUAUGGAGGGAAAAGGGAGUAGUUGGGACGCGUUUAUGCAGAGUUUAGAACGGAACGGGCAUUUUGAAGGGUUGUUACCGGGGUCAUAUCUGUAUAAAAGAUUGAAGCUGAAUGCUGAGUUGUAUUACAAGGAUAGUUCACUGCUUGAGAGAGAAAGGUAUCGCUUGCUUGUUAGUUUAUAUUAAAGUUUCAAUCUUUUUUGAUGAAAUUCUAGAUGAUGCACUUUGACAACGUAUUAGAAUUUGUGACAACGAGAUUUGGUAUCUGGCAUUUGGUGCAUAUAUGUCUAAUUAUCUUUCCUGCCAGGAGGAGGGUGUAUGCAGUGCUAGUUUUCUAGGAUACUCAUGUAUUACAUUUCAGUUAUGUUGAAUUGAACGUUAUUAUGGGAAUGGACUGGUUGUCAUCAUAUUACGCUAAGCUAGUUUGUCGAACCAGUUGUUAUGUAAUCAUUGUAGAGACACAAAACAAAAAGGUUUGUUUCAUUGUUAGAAUAUCACUGAUAAUAUCUGCAGAUUGGUUAAAAUAUUUCAUAGUGUUCAUAUUGUCGGGAUAAUUUCUGCAUGUUGGGUUAAAUAUGGGCAUUGCCUUAUCUGGAUCUAUCUGGUACCAUUUGCAGAUUCAUGAAUCCUAGGCUAAAAUGUCUCUUGGGUGUGUCUGUGUAGCUAUGUCUCUUGAUUUUGCUUCUUUCUUUGAUGAUACGACAGCUUAUGACCAUCCCUCAUGGUUUUCCGAUAUUGAGUUUAAAUUGUUGUUUAUUGUCCUAUGUGCCCUAGAUGUCAGAGUGAAAAUUUGAAGCUUCUAUAUAGCGGAAUUUGUGUGUACAUAAAUGAUAAGGGUUUUGUAAACCUUUUGCCUUACUAAAAGAGAAGUUUGAAAGUUCUAUAUAAGUGACAUGGUCAUAUUGUUUACUGUAAUGGUCCUUUGUUUUCUGCUUGAUUUACCAUUUUUCCCUCUUAUUGCUCAAUAUACUGUAUGAGAUGGCCAUGUGUGUCUAAGUAUUCCUUAACUUGCUGCUGACCAAUACUGGAAAAAAAACAGUGCUAUGCUAAGUGCUCCAGUGCAAAGAAUAGAUGAGAUCCUUGCCCUUCCUGAGUCUGCUGAUGACUUUAAGGAUCAGGAGCUACCACCAUCUGAUGAUGAUUCAUGGCUUUAUGGUGGGGAGGAUGAGCUAAAUGCUGUUCUUCAAGAGAGGCAAAAGGAGAUGGAACUUUACAACUCAAAAAAGAAACAAAAAUCAAAAGAGCAGGAUGGCCCCAGCAAUGGUUCUGAUAAUUUUGAUUUAAAAGAUAUAUCGAAGUCUAUGCAAGCAUUUGUUACGAAAGUGGCCAGCUAUGAAGGUGCAGAGGUUCCAGAAGACAGGUUUUUGUCCUUCAUAUCUCUCAUUUUAGCAUGUGGAGUAGCAUAUACUUGGUAUCUUUUAUUUUAUUCUUAUUGGCAAUUGAUUACAUUGUAGCAUCUAAUAGUUAAUAGUUUGGAUUUGUGCUAUUUCAAUUUUACUUGCUAAGUAUAGUGAUUGUUUUUUAAAGUAUUCUGGUGUGCAAGAGUAAAAUUAGAUGUGAUAGUUAUGAAGCAAAUUGCGUCAUCAAUUUGGUCAUAAAUAUUAAAUUCCUUGUAAUAACAAUAGAUAUAAAGUCAUAGGAAGGCUAGUUUGGUUAAUCCCAUCGUAUCUAUAUUCUUUUUAGCAGCAUUCCUUUUGGUCCGUCAGUAUCUUAUUUUGUGUUAUCCCAUCUCCAAUAGGAAUCUUAAGGGCGUGGACUUUGAUGUGGAUCUCUUUAUGAAAGACAUGGAAUCGUUUGUGAGGCGUCAAGGCAAUGAAGACACUGGCAGGGAUGUUGAUAUAGGAGAAGGGUCAUCAUCAGAUAUGGAGUUUGGUGAGUGUUUUAUUUAAUCUCUCUUAAGUCAAUCUUUUUGGUUGCACUAGUCAAAUGCUAUGCACCUUUACAUGCAGGUUAGAAUUUGUUCCUUAUUUGUACUAUUGGUGGCUCUGUGCCAAUGAAAAUUCCUAGUCUAGAUGGGUAUCUCCCUGCUUUUCGUUUGUCUUUUAUUUUUCCUACUAUUAUUUGGUUGCUUUUGUUACCUUUUUUGGGGGAGGGGUGAAUGGGAUGUGAGACUUGCUUCCCGUAGGCUGGGCUUGGUUGGGAUAGGGUAGUGGGGUGCCAGAUCGUUUUCCUCCUCUUUAGGAGGUGAAGUGAUUGUAAGGAGGUCAGUUAUCCCUCCAUGGCAGCUUUUACCUGUCCAACUUUAAUCUGUCCAAUAUGGAUAAUAUCCCUUUUAUAUAGGGAAGUUGAGCAGGUAGCUUUCCCCCCCUCUUCCUGGAGGAAGUAACGUAGUAUUAGUGAAUGGUUGAGUUCACCUAUUUUACGCAAUCCCAAAUCCUUCUGGAAAUACUAUUGGAUUUAAUUUUUUUUGUGUGGGGGUGGGGGAAUAUGCUAAAAGUUGUAACAUGUUCACUCAUCAAAAAGAAAAAAAAAAUCAUCUUCUACAUGUUAAAAGAAAAUGCUGACUAAGAAGAAAAAGUGACAUCUAUUGCACAUACAGAUGAAUCUGAAGAUGAGAUUGGCGAUGAGGAAGGUGCUGCUUUCAUGCAUUCGUAUUCGGACGCUCUGAAUGAAGAACUGAAAGGCACCACACUAAGUAAUACCUUUGUUCGUGCAAAUGGAGAGUCCGUCAAGAAAGAUGAGGUUAGUCUAUGCUUCCAAUAAAAUCAUAUGUGUCUUCUAAUCCUGCCUGGAGAUAAGCUUUCAGCUGGUAGCAAUACUCCUGCUAAUGCUAAAUUUACAGUCGAUAUUUGCCCCAAAAUCGUUCAGCAUUAACACGUGUAGAGUCAUGAUUUCUCUAUUGCUGAAUCACUCAUUGGACGAAUAUAUGUUGUAUCAGGGAACAUCUACUGCUACAGAAAGCAUGGAAGAGGAGUUCACUCCAGUAGAUGUUGAUUUCAAUCUCGUAAAGAAUUUCCUCGAUUCCUUUUCUUCUCAAGACGGACUUCCAGGACCUGCCUCUAAUCUGCUUGGACUUAUGGGUCUUCAGCUACCACCAGAUGCUCCUAGCAAAAGGAAAUAAGAAGCAUAUGCUUGUCGUGCAGCUUAUUUCUCGACUCCCUUUUUUCCCAUUCAAAUUCCAGUCUUUUGAUGGCAUUUCGAGUUUUUCCAUUUGAUAUGAACUUAUAAAUACUUUGAUGGGGAUGUUGAAUGUUGUAUAUCACCUGUUUGUAUGAGUUUAUAUAAUUCGUCUUCUCCUUGGUUCCACUACAUGUAAAUGUGGACCAUACACAGCCAAAACACACACACAGAAAAGUUUGUGUACUUAAAUAGCAAAAAAGAAAUUGUUGGCUUUUCAUCAGUCGUUGCGCGCGCUAGCCCUAGCCUAAGCCUAUGAUCUUAUAUAGAUAACAAAUACGGUAAGAAUUACGUGUGUCGGAUUCUUCAGAAGUUACAUGAAUAGCUAUACAUAUUAUAGCAGCUUCUUGCUUGUGAGUUAGCUUGUGUGUGUCGGAUUCUUCAAAAAUUACAUGAAUAGCUAUACAUAUUAUAUCAGUUGCUUGCUUGUGACUUGUGAGUUAGCUUCACACAACAACAUAUCUAGUGUAUUGCCACAAAAUGGGGUGUGGAGAGGGUAAAGUGUACAUACGACUACAUCUGAUGAAGUAGAGAGACUGUUUUUGACAAAUUUCUAAUUCAAAAUAGAUAACAAUAAAGACAAAAAAAAAAACAAAAAACAUAAAAGCACGGCUAGAUAAUAAAGAAAACAAGGUAUCCAUAAAAUAAUAUUAUAAAUUAUCUAUUUGAAAUUCAAAACACACCAAAACAAAUAACUUCAGGCAUAGAUACAACUUACAAACAAAAUAAUUAUCUUCAUGCAGGGUUUGGAUAAAAUAACUACAUCUCAACAAGUGGGAUGUAGAUUAUUCAACCUUCCCACGAAACACGUUAAUAUUUGCAAUAGUAUUAGACUCAAAAAGUAUAUACAUAUAACUUUUAGAUACCUUUAGUCAAGUCAAUAAAAAAAGAAAAUGGACCAAAUUUUACUAUGAGCACCACUAAUCCUAGAUUAGAACUUUGGAAUUAACAACUAACGAUUCAUACAGGUAUUAAAUACCGGGUGAAAAAUUAAUUAAAAAAUAGAAAAUGGAUAAAUAUAUCUUCGAACUAUAAUAAAUGAUACAUAUAUACCUUCCGUCAUAUUUUGGAUACAUAUAUGUCCCUAUCGUUAAUGAAAUGGUACGUAUAUAGUAUAUACCCCUCACACUAACAGUAGAGACAUAUGUAUACCCAAAGUAUGAUGGAGGAUAUAUAUGUAUCAUUUAUCAUAGCUCGAGAGUAUAUUUGUCCCUUUUCUACUUUACUUUUAUUUUUUAAUAAUUAACACAACUCCAUUACUCGAUUGGGUUUUAAUUGGGACCGGAUUGGGUAGUGGAUUUAGGUUUAGUUAUUUGGGAUUAAAAAAAUUAAAACAGAAAAGAAACAAAUAUACCUCCGAACUAUGAUAAAUGGUACAUAUAUACCUUCCGUCAUAUUUUAGGUAAAUAUAUGCCCUAUCGUUAGUAUGAGGGGCAUAUGCGUAUGAUUUUAUUAGCGGUAGGCAUAUAUAUGUACCCUAAAUAUAAUAGAAGGUAUAUACGUACAAUUUAUCAUUGUUCGGGGAUAUAUAUGUUCCUUUUCCGAUUAAAAAUAAUUGAAACAAGUCUUAUGUUAUCUUCCAAUGUAGACAAACAUCAUCAUAUAAAUUGGGACGAAAUAGAUUUUCUAUAGUAGACGAUCAGUUUGAUAAUUCAUAUUCUCUCUAUUUCAAAAAAGAAUUAUCUAUUUUUCUUUUUAAUCUGUUCAAAAGAGAAUUAAAUCUCCUUUCUUUUUUUUUGGCAAUACUCUGAUCUCAACUUUGAACGUGUAUAUUUGAAACCACAAGAUUCAAGCGCAUUUUGAUACAUUUCACAUAAUUUUAAUUUAAAAUCAUAAAAUUUAAAAGUAUUUUUAUUUUCUUAAAUUUAAUACUGAGCUAAAGUAAAAAUAGAUUAUUCUUUUCGAAACGUUUCGAAUAAUUAGAUUGGAAUAAUUAUAUUGUUUCCUCUUUCUUUUUCAUUGCCUUUUUUAAAGGGCAAGUAUUACAUACUUGACUUUGAUUCUCGAUAAAUAAAAAUAAACGGAGGGAAUAUUAUAAAUAAAAGUUAAGAACAUCUCCCAAUCAAUAUAAGAAAAAUACCAUACGUUUAUUAGAAUAACAAUAACAAAAUCCCACUCAAAAUAAUUUUUUCUUAAAAAAAAAGACUAGAAUUUUUUUAUUUUUUUUAAUUAUGGCAACGGCGGCGAUUGAUUUAUUGAAGAGUGAAAUUCCGGUGGAGGAAGAUGAACCGUUGAUUCUCUCCGGCGACAUUAACACCGGUUUAGUACUCGUUGAUAUCGUUAAUGGCUUUUGCACCGUCGGAGCUGGCAAUUUGGUAAUUUUAAUUAUGUUAGUUUACAUAUCAUUUAAUCUAAUUUGUAUGUAUUAUGUACUUUUUUUUUUCUUUUUGGAUCUAUAUGAAAUAGACAACAAAAAGAUUUUUUUUUUUUAAAUCAAUUUAAAAGAAUCUGUAUGAUCCAUCUGUCCUAUUUUGUUUGGAUCACUUUCUAAUUUUUAAUUAAAGUUAUUCAAAAUUGUAGUAACUUGUAAAUACUAUUAUAAUAAUCGUGAUAUCUCAUUAACUUGCAUGCAACUCGACUAAUUUACACAUGACUUGGACAUUUAAUAUUACUUUCUCAACCAAAAAAUAUUAUAAUCGUGAUAUCUCAGUUAACUUGCAUGCAACUCGACUAAUUUACACGUGACUUGGACAUUUAAUAUUACUUUCUCAACCAAAAAAUGUAAUAAUCAUAAUAUCUCAGUCAACUUGCAUGUAACUCGACUAAUUUACACCUGACUUGGACAUUCAAUAUUACUUUCUCAACCAAAAAAUAUAAUAAUCGUGAUAUCUCAGUCAACUUGCAUGCAACUCGACUAAUUUAUACCUGACUUGGACAUUCAAUAUUACUUUCUCAACCAAAAAAUAUAAUAAUCGUGAUAUCUCAGUCAACCUGCAUGCAACUCGAUUAAUUUACACGUGACUUGGACAUUCAAUAUUACUUUCUCAACCAAAAAAUAUACUACUUUAAAAUUUGUACAUUUUCUAUAAUCGUAGUAUCUUGGUUAGUUUGCAUGUACUUCGAUUAAUUUUACGAAGUAUUAUCGCUCACUAGCACAAGUAUCAGAUAGCUCUGUUUGCGUGACUUGGACAUUUGAAAUUAAUACCUUACCUUCUCAACCAAAAAAUAUACUACUUUAAAAUUCAUACUUUCUUCAUAAUCGUUGUAUGUCGGUCAAUUUGUAUGCAACUCGACUAAUUUUAUAGUAUCUGCUAUCUCUCACUAGCAAAGGUAUUGAAUAAUUCUCAACCAAGAAAAGAAAACGUUAAAAUUCAUAUCUUUCUUAUAAUCAUGGUAUCUCGGUCUACUUGUGUGCAGCUCAACUAAUUUCAUAGUAUUGGCUAUCUCUCACUAGCAAAGGUACCGGAUAACUCUCAACCAAAAAAUAUACUUCAAAAUUCAUAAUCUUUUUUAAUAACAAUGGUGUCUCGGGCAACUUGCAUGCACCUCGAUUAAUUUCACAAUAUCUUCUUUCACUAGUUCAGGUACCAAACAACUCUGUCAAUCUGACUUUGACAUUCAAAAGUAAUACCUUGCCUUCUCGAAAAUUAGUCGAGGUGCGAGCAAGCUGGUCCGGAUAUCAUAGUUAUCAAAAACAAAAAAAUCAAUACCUUACUUUCUCGAGUCUCAACCAAAAAUUAUACUUUAAAAUUUUAUAUCUUUUUUGUAACUGUGUAUCUCUGCCAGCUUGCAUGCACCUUCCCUAAUUUCACAGAAUUUCAUCUGAAGUAGAGAGGUUGUUUUCGAUCGACGCCCACUCAGGACACACACACAUAUAUAUAUAUAUAUAUAUAUAUAGACACACACACAAGUGUCUCUGUGAUGAGUGUGUGUAUACAUGCAUGUUUAAUCGGGUUCGUGUGUUAGAAGCUAAAUAUAAAGUGUAAAAAGCAAGAACCCGAAUUGGAAGUUUGAUGAGUUAUACUUUGAAGUCUUUAUAGUAGUUCUGCAGUUAUUUGUUCAUGGAAGUCUUAGCUGCUUCUUUAUUUUAGAAAAAUAAUUUCCCUAUAGCCAUUCUUCUUGAUAUUAGACAUACACUAUCCACCAAUGUAAAGGUAUGUUAAGCAUGACUUGCAUAACGUUUGGAACUUUUUAGCCGAAUGACUGUACAAGUUUAAUGAUGGCCUAUGUUGUUUCGAGUUCGGACUCUUCAAAAAUGUCAUCGGGGGCUUGUUGGAUCCUUCAAAAGUAGUGCAUUUUUGGAGGAUCUGACAUACAGUAUCUACCAAUGUAAAGGUAUGUUAAGCAUAACUCGCGUAAAGUUAGGAACUUUUUAGCCCAAGGACUGGACUGGUUUAAUGAUGGUCUAUGUUGUUCGGACUUCAGACUCUUCAAAAAUAUCAUCGGGAGCAUGUCAGAUCCUUCAAAAGUAGUGCAUUUUUGGAGGAUCCUACACGGGUGCGGCAACAUUUUUGGAGAGUCCGGACAACGUAGAUGAUGGUGAUUAAAUUUAUUAGAGAAGAAGCUAUUGUUAGAUUUCUUGAUCACUUGAGCUGGAAAUUAAGCUGGUCUACUGCUGUUUCUAUGUAACAUUACUUCUAACUUGACGAUAGCGAUUCUUGGAAAAUCAUCUUUUUCUUUCCUUAAAUGACUCUACUUUCUUGAGGUUCAGGAUCUGCACGGAAGAGAAUUUUGUAUAAUAAUCGAACCUUGCAUCUUGAAGGUUUUUAUGUAGGAUCUCCACUAGGGAGCUUCGUUCAUUCUAUGCAAUCUUCUUUGAUUUGUUUCGUUCUCUCUAUCACUCUCUGUCUCUUUCUAUUCAUAUGUUGUUCCAACGUUUGUUUCUCUAUCAUUUCGGUGAUUGUAUUGGGUAAAUUUCAAUUUGGACAAAGCAAUUCAUGUGAUCCUUAUUCCUUCUGUUGUUCUUUUUAAAGUAUUGAUUAUUCGCUUUGCUAUAGGCUCCAGUAGCACCUGAUAAACAAAUUUCAGCAAUGGUUGAUGAGUCGGUUAAACUUGCAAAAAUGUUCUGUGAGAAGAAAUGGCCUAUUUAUGCUCUUUGUGAUUCUCAUCAUCCGGAUGUGCCUGAACCACCUUAUCCUCCUC
rnacentral:lncRNA from 1 species